GCAGUGCUCCGGCUUGUCGCUGGCAUUCUCUACUGGGGGGUGCGAGAGGAAAGUCCGGGCAGCGUAGGGCAUCCCACUUCCGAAAAUAGAAGCUAUUGGUGACAGUAGGUGUCGGUAGAAGAAAAUUACCGCCCGAAACUUAUUCCGUAGCGAGGUCAGGCUCCGGCUGGGCAUCGUGGUUUAGUGUCGGGUAAGGGUGAGAAGGUGGUGUAAGAGACCACCAGCUGGCGGGUGAUCGCCAGGCUGUGCCAUCUGGGAGCUGUAAGCUCAUGUAAACCGCAGAUUGAGGCGGCUCGUCCGAUUGCCUUCGGGCUGCUGCGGAGGGUAGAGUGCUUGAGCCCAGGGGUGACUCUGGGACUAGAUAAAUGACAGGCGCCCGUAUCGUUUCUGACGGUAUGGGUACAGAACUCGGCUUAUAGGAGCACUGCUUUC
rnacentral:RNase_P_RNA from 1 species